rnacentral:rRNA from 1 species
UCUGCAACCCGACUCCACGAAGCUGGAUUCGCUAGUAAUCGCGCAUCAGCCACGGCGCGGUGAAUACGUUCCCGGGCCUUGUACACACCGCCCGUCAAGCCAUGGGAGCCGGGGGUACCUGAAGUGCGUAACCGCGAGGAUCGCCCUAGGGUAAAACUGGUGACUGGGGCUAAGUCGUAACAAGGUACC